AUUCCCAAAACCUCAGGACUAACUUUUUUGGUUCUUAGAGAUUGGCCACAAUAUUUUGAUUUUUUUGCCACCGGCUGAAAAGGUUCUUCUACUUUCCACACGCUUAUCUAUUACUUCCACCGCUACCUUUCUCUUUUCUUUUCUUAUCUUCCACCUCAUACGCUUUCCACCAUCUCUUUUUCUUCUAUAUCCAAGGAACAUCCAUGUUUACAACAUCGAACCUUCCGACGGAAAUCACUUUCGGUCGUCUUCCUCACGCCUCUUUCCAACGCCAUCGCUUUCCGCCUAGUUUGGGGCCGACAUCGGCUUCUUUUCUCGCAUGCUCCACCACCACCAUUGGCCGAUCGGAUCUUUACACAGCUCACCGAGCUUAGGAUUGCAGUUUUUUGAUGGGGGUGAUACAGGUAUUGGAACAGUUUGGAAUAGUAUGCUAACUUUGAUUAGUUGUUGAAACAUUUGCCCACCGGCUGUUUGUUAAAAGUGUUUAGUGAAUUUUCAUAUAUUUUUUGUGGAUUCUAACUGAAACUAUUGGUUUAUGAUAGAUAUUUACUCAAACAAACAAAUCAAAGAAUGAAACAUUGGUAUUUUCACACAUUCUUUAUUGAUUAUAUUUUAUUAUUACUAA